rnacentral:rRNA from 1 species
GACGCAGUAGGAUAGGCGAAGCGUGCUGUUGGAGUGCACGUCCAAGCAGUGAGAUUGAGUGUUAGGCAAAUCCGGCACUCUUAAGAUUGAGCUGUGAUGGGGAGAGGAACUUGUUCCUCGAGUCGUUGAUUUCACACUGCCGAGAAAAGCCUCUAGCUAGAAUAACGGUGCCCGUACCGCAAACCGACACAGGUAGUCAAGAUGAGAAUUCUAAGGUGAGCGAGCGAACUCUCGUUAAGGAACUCGGCAAAAUGACCCCGUAACUUCGGGAGAAGGGGUGCUCUUUGAGGUUCACGCUUCGAAGAGCCGCAGUGAAUAGGCCCAAGCGACUGUUUAUCAAAAACACAGGUCUCUGCUAAACCGUAAGGUGACGUAUAGGGGCUGACGCCUGCCCGGUGCUGGAAGGUUAAGAGGAGUGGUUAGCGCAAGCGAAGCUACGAAUCGAAGCCCCAGUAAACGGCGGCCGUAACUAUAACGGUCCUAAGGUAGCGAAAUUCCUUGUCGGGUAAGUUCCGACCCGCACGAAAGGCGUAACGAUUUGGGCACUGUCUCAACGAGAGACUCGGUGAAAUCAUAGUACCGGUGAAGAUGCCGGUUACCCGCGACAGGACGGAAAGACCCCGUGGAGCUUUACUGUAGCCUGAUAUUGAAAUUCGGUACAGUUUGUACAGGAUAGGUAGGAGCCUUAGAAGCGUGAGCGCUAGCUUACGUGGAGGCAUUGGUGGGAUACUACCCUAAUUGUAUUGGAUUUCUAACCCGCAGCACUUAUCGUGCUGGGAGACAGUGUCAGGCGGGCAGUUUGACUGGGGCGGUCGCCUCCUAAAGAGUAACGGAGGCGCUCAAAGGUUCCCUCAGAAUGGUUGGAAAUCAUUCAUAGAGUGUAAAGGCAUAAGGGAGCUUGACUGCGAGACCUACAAGUCGAGCAGGGUCGAAAGACGGACUUAGUGAUCCGGUGGUUCCGCAUGGAAGGGCCAUCGCUCAACGGAUAAAAGCUACCCCGGGGAUAACAGGCUUAUCUCCCCCAAGAGUUCACAUCGACGGGGAGGUUUGGCACCUCGAUGUCGGCUCAUCGCAUCCUGGGGCUGUAGUCGGUCCCAAGGGUUGGGCUGUUCGCCCAUUAAAGCGGUACGCGAGCUGGGUUCAGAACGUCGUGAGACAGUUCGGUCCCUAUCCGUCGUGGGCGUAGGAAAUUUGAGAGGAGCUGUCCUUAGUACGAGAGGACCGGGAUGGACAUACCUCUGGUGUACCAGUUGUCGUGCCAACGGCAUAGCUGGGUAGCUAUGUAUGGACGGGAUAAGUGCUGAAAGCAUCUAAGCAUGAAGCCCCCCUCGAGAUGAGAUU